AACAAGGAGGGGUGCCUCCCAGAUCACUCUCUUCCCUCCAAGAGGGACAUGGGGAGAUAGAAGCUUCCUGAAGGAGACAUGGGGGCCUUUUCCAUCUCUGCCUCCCCAUAGCCCCAGGGGGUGCUGCACACAGUGCUUCUCACUUAAACACUGGAUCCUGCACACGCGGACCCUCUGUUGACAAAAAGGCUUCAAGGAAGAAGGCCCCGGGGUGUGCUCCCCAGGGCAAGUCCUGCUCACUCCCUUCCAAAGCUCAGCCCAGCUCUGAUGACUUCUCCCACCUCCACGGCCGUACCAGUCCCAUCAGGAUGCCUGGACUGUGGCCCUGGCCUUCCAAACCCACCUCCGAUCAGCCCGGGUGAUGGUGGGAAGGCAAAGAUCUGCAUCACUGCACCUCCUGUCCUCACUGCCUCAGGUCUUCCCAUCAGACGCACAAGAAAAACCCAAGUCCUGGCUGGGGUCCACGUGAGCCCCUGCCACUCACUGUCCUCCACCCCCGUGGCCUCAGACACCCCUAGCACACACACACCUGCCUCAGGCCCUUUGCACUUGUUAUCGGUCCUGCCUGGAAUGUGCCUCUCCCAGAUGUUCCCCAGGCCUGUUUGUCACCUGGCCGGGAGGCUUUUGCAGAUCACCUCACCUCAAAGAGCUCUCCCACCACUCUGUCCCCAUUACUCCACUUCAUUUUCUUUAAAAAAAUAAAGAAUAAUUUCAAAACA